GAUGUUAGCCGUCGAUAUUUUCCCCAGAUGUUCUAAUUAUGUUUCAUUGUUAGACGUUUGAUCUGGACUCAAGCUGUAGGCCUACCAGUCAGAUGAUUAACUCAGUGGAGGAGGAAGACUUUGCGGAUAUCAGGGCCUACUUUUCCACAACAAAAUGGAACCGCCUCUGUAUGGCAGAGAAAAAAAGAUUCCUGCAGAUCAAGGAAAACCAUUUGGUUCUGUCGUCUCUUGGCCUGUCCUUUGUGGCUCCAGCCUUCAUGAGGAGAGAGAAGCCCGGCCAGGUGAGAGUCUGCUCACCUGAAGAGACAGACUCUGAGGAGGAGCAGCUCUGGACCUCUGGAUUGACCGGUGCUCGAGUGUGGAAGCCACCAACAGUCAGACAGGGGUCUCUACAACAGCCCAGUACGUCAGAUGCAGUUUCUUUACGGAGUCUCUCAGGGCGGGGCUGGAGUGACCAGGAGGUCUCUGGAGGGCCCACUCCUUCUCAUCCAGAGAUUGACCCCUCCGGAGGAGGAGUAGAGAGGGGCUCUGCAGUCCAGGAGGAGGUCUCCUUGGUUAUCCAUGAACAUAUGAAGGGCUCAAGUGUUUAUUCAAGAGAGACGAACCUGAGAAAUGUUCUCAGAGUUAACUAACAAGAACCGGAAGUACCUAAGGAUGACGACUACUUCUGUAAGAGGGCUCUCUCUCUCUGUCUCUCUCUCUCUGUCUCUGUCUCUGUCUCUGUCUCUGUCUCUGUCUCUCUCUCUGUCUCUGUCUCUGUCUCUGUCUCUGUCUCUGUCUCUCUCUCCCCACCUCUUUUUCCCCACCUCUUUUUCAUUCACAAACCAAUUUUUAAUCUUCCUGUUUCCGUCUAUUUAAUAUAGAUUUGUAGCUGAAGCUCUCUUGGACGUUAUAAAUAAAUGAACUCUCUCCAGUCUGUGAUGAGUGUAGGACUUUCUUCCUCGAAGAGUGCGCGGUCCACGGUCCUAUCGUCUUCAUGGCUGAUCGCCCCGUUGCUGUCAGAGAGAAAGACCGAGCCAAGAAGACGCUGCCCGCUGGGUUUGAGAUCAGAGAUUCUGGGAUCCCUGGGGCCGGUCUAGGGGUGUUUUACUGUGGAGACGAUGGCCUUCCCAUUGGAACACACUUUGGACCCUACGAAGGACACAGGACCGAUGAAGAGGGAGCCCUGGAGAGUGGAUACUCCUGGGAGAUCUACAAGAGCAGACACAAUGAUUACAUUGAUGCAAAGAGAGAGACACUUUCUAACUGGAUGAGGUACGUCAAUUGUGCUCGUAAUGAAGAGGAACAGAACCUAAUAGCGUUUCAGCACAAAGGAGGAAUUCCUUAUCGCACCUGCGGCCUCGUGACUUCAGGAGCAGAGCUCUUGGUCUGGUAUGGGGACGAAUACGCCAGACAUCUGGGAAUCGGAUUUGA